GCAGUAUACAUAGCUGUGCUCAGUAUGUUGGCAGGCCAUUUGGCCUGAAUUUGUGGGAGGAGUUAUGACCUUAUUUAAACCCCUUCCUCCCUACUUACCUUUGUCGUGCAAACCUUUGUCUGCAUAGUUACCUGCACUUCCGGUUCGUUGUUCCCGCCAAGUCCUGUCUCGAGCAAACAGUCCGUCACCAGCAGCUCCUGCCGCCGACCUCCGGGCCCGUCCACCGGCUUCCAUCUGAC